rnacentral:sRNA from 1 species
GCAUAUUUGCUAAGAGCACCAUGCGCGCAGCAGCCAUCUCCACUCCAAAGUUAGACAAAAUGCCAGGAAUGUUCUUCUCUGCUAACCCAAAGGAAUUGAAAGGAACCACUCAUUCACUUCUAGACGACAAAAUGCAAAAAAGGAGGCCAAAGACUUUGUAAGUUUGUUCAGAGUCUCACUUUGUGAAUUUUAACAAGUUAUCUUUAAUGGCAGAAGGAUUGAGAAUGAAUGGAAGAGAGUGUGAGCAUUUAGUUUAGCCAGAUCAGAGGAGUUAAUUGCCUGUUUUGAGUAAUAAGUAAUAUUCAGCUGCAUUAAAAAAUAAAUCUUGAUAUGGCAUUAAAUUGGGUAGGAGUUUUUCUCUACACGGGCUCAUAAAAAUGGGUUCUAUCCGAAGAUAGCAAAAUGUUGUAUCAACCAUUUUUAGUAUUGCCUUAUUCCUUAGAGAAAUUUAUUCUAUGUCUUUUUACAAAUAAAAUGAAUUCUGAAGAAAUAUGAAUAUUCACUUUUAUGUCUUUUGUAGUGGAAUGGAUAUGAAAGCAUACCUGAGAUCUAUGAUCCCACAUCUGGAAUCUGGAAUGAAAUCUUCCAAGUCCAAGGAUGUACUUUCUGCUGCUGAAGUAAUGCAAUGGUCUCAAUCUCUGGAAAAACUUCU